rnacentral:rRNA from 2 species
GUCGUGCCUAUACUGCACGUCGAACCAACUCUGGUAUUGAUUGGUGCUUAAUCAUGAUUUACAUUUGAGUGAGUGGCGAACUGGUGAGUAACACGUGGGAAACCUGCCCAGAAGCGGGGGAUAACACCUGGAAACAGAUGCUAAUACCGCAUAACAACUUGGACCGCAUGGUCCGAGCUUGAAAGAUGGCUUCGGCUAUCACUUUUGGAUGGUCCCGCGGCGUAUUAGCUAGAUGGUGGGGUAACGGCUCACCAUGGCAAUGAUACGUAGCCGACCUGAGAGGGUAAUCGGCCACAUUGGGACUGAGACACGGCCCAAACUCCUACGGGAGGCAGCAGUAGGGAAUCUUCCACAAUGGACGAAAGUCUGAUGGAGCAACGCCGCGUGAGUGAAGAAGGGUUUCGGCUCGUAAAACUCUGUUGUUAAAGAAGAACAUAUCUGAGAGUAACUGUUCAGGUAUUGACGGUAUUUAACCAGAAAGCCACGGCUAACUACGUGCCAGCAGCCGCGGUAAUACGUAGGUGGCAAGCGUUGUCCGGAUUUAUUGGGCGUAAAGCGAGCGCAGGCGGUUUUUUAAGUCUGAUGUGAAAGCCUUCGGCUCAACCGAAGAAGUGCAUCGGAAACUGGGAAACUUGAGUGCAGAAGAGGACAGUGGAACUCCAUGUGUAGCGGUGAAAUGCGUAGAUAUAUGGAAGAACACCAGUGGCGAAGGCGGCUGUCUGGUCUGUAACUGACGCUGAGGCUCGAAAG